ACUAACAAGGAUUCCCCUAGUAACGGCGAGUGAAGCGGGAAGAGCUCAAAUUUGAAAUCUGGCAGUCUUCGAUUGUCCGAGUUGUAAUCUAUAGAGGCGUUUUCCGUGCCGGACCGUGUCCAAGUCUCCUGGAAAGGAGUAUCAAAGAGGGUGAUAAUCCCGUACUUAACACGACCACCGGUGCUCUGUGAUACGUCUUCUACGAGUCGAGUUGUUUGGGAAUGCAGCUCAAAAUGGGUGGUGAAUUCCAUCUAAAGCUAAAUAUUGGCGAGAGACCGAUAGCGAACAAGUACCGUGAGGGAAAGAUGAAAAGCACUUUGGAAAGAGAGUUAAACAGUACGUGAAAUUGUUGAAAGGGAAACGAUUGAAGUCAGUCGUGUUCUUUGGAUUCAGCCAGUUCUGCUGGUCUACUUCCUUGGAACGGGUCAACAUCAGUUUUGUCCGGUGGAUAAAGGUAGUAGGAAUGUGACUUCUCCGGAAGUGUUAUAGCCUAUUAUCACAUACACUGGGUGAGACUGAGGACUGCAGCUCGCCUUUAUGGCCGGCCUUCGGGCACGUUCGAGCUUAGGAUGUUGACAUAAUGGCUUUAAACGACCCGUCUU
rnacentral:rRNA from 1 species